rnacentral:rRNA from 1 species
GAUGAACGCUGGCGGCGUGCCUAAUACAUGCAAGUCGAGCGAACAGAUGAGGAGCUUGCUCCUCUGACGUUAGCGGCGGACGGGUGAGUAACACGUGGAUAACCUACCUAUAAGACUGGGAUAACUUCGGGAAACCGGAGCUACUACUGGAUAAUAUAUUGAACCGCAUGGUUCAAUAGUGAAAGACGGUUUUGCUGUCACUUAUAGAUGGAUCCGCGCCGCAUUAGCUAGUUGGUAAGGUAACGGCUUACCAAGGCAACGAUGCGUAGCCGACCUGAGAGGGUGAUCAGCCACACUGGAACUGAGACACGGUCCAGACUCCUACGGGGGACAGCAGUGGGGAAUAUUGCACAAUGGGCGGAAGCCUGAUGCAGCAACGCCGCGUGCGGGAUGACGGCCUUCGGGUUAUAAACCGCUUUCGCCUGUGACGAAGCGUGAGUGACGGUAAUGGGUAAAGAAGCACCGGCUAACUACGUG